rnacentral:rRNA from 1 species
UACGGAGGGGGCUAGCGUUGUCCGAAGUUACUGGGCGUAAAGCGCGCGUAGGCGGGUUGGUAAGUCCGCUGUGAAAGCCCGGAGCUUAACUCCGGAGGGUCGGUGGAUACUGCCAGUCUUGAAGGUGCUAGGGGGAGAUGGAAUUACCGGUGUAGCGGUGAAAUGCGUAGAUAUCGGUAGGAACACCAGUGGCGGAGGCGGUCUCCUGGGGCAUUCUUGACGCUGAGGCGCGAAAGCUGGGGGAGCGAACGGG